rnacentral:rRNA from 1 species
GGNUCAACCAUAGUGUGCUCUGGAAACUNUCUGACUUGAGUGCAGAAGGGGAGAGUGGAAUUCCAUGUGUAGCGGUGAAAUGCGUAGAUAUAUGGAGGAACACCAGUGGCGAAAGCGGCUCUNUGGUCUGUCACUGACGCUGAGGCUCGAAAGCGUGGGUAGCGAACAGGAUUAGAUACCCUGGUAGUCCACGCCGUAAACGAUGAGUGCUAGGUGUUAGGCCCUUUCCGGGGCUUAGAGCCGGAGCUAACGCGAUAAGCACUCCGCCUGGGGAGUACGACCGCAAGGUUGAAACUCAAAGGAAUUGACGGGGGCCCGCACAAGCGGUGGAGCAUGUGGUUUAAUUCGAAGCAACGCGAAGAACCUUACCAGGUCUUGACAUCCCGAUGCUAUUCUUAGAGAUAGGAAGUUACUUCGGUACAUCGGAGACAGGUGGUGCAUGGUUGUCGUCAGCUCGUGUCGUGAGAUGUUGGGUUAAGUCCCGCAACGAGCGCAACCCUUAUUGUUAGUUGCCAUCAUUAAGUUGGGCACUCUAGCGAGACUGCCGGUAAUAAACCGGAGGAAGGUGGGGAUGACGUCAAAUCAUCAUGCCCCUUAUGACCUGGGCUACACACGUGCUACAAUGGUCGGUACAACGAGUUGCGAGCCGGUGACGGCAAGCUAAUCUCUGAAAGCCGAUCUCAGUUCGGAUUGGAGGCUGCAACUCGCCUCCAUGAAGUCGGAAUCGCUAGUAAUCGCGGAUCAGCACGCCGCGGUGAAUACGUUCCCGGGCCUUGUACACACCG